UCUAGUUUCAGGAUUACGUAUCUUUCGGAAAGCAUGUUUAUGAUAAAAUUUGUUAAUAGCAGAGGUAUAUUAAGUUGUAAAAGCUUACUCUUUAAAAUACUUAUUACGACAUUAUCAUAGGCACAAUUUAUAUCUAAGAACGCAGCUAUUACUGAUUUAUUAUUUGAAAAUGAUAAUUGAAUAUCAGAAAUGAAUAUACUUAAGCUAUCAAUAGUACUUUUUCCACGUCUGAAACCGAAUUGGGAUUCACAUAAUAGACCGUUAUGCUCAACAAACCAUUCUAAACGAUUUUUUAUAAGAUGUUCUGUAAUUUUCAUCAAAACAGAAGAAAGUGCGAUUGGGCGAUAGGCAGAAUGGUCUGAAGAACACCUAUUAGGUUUCAGUUCGGGAAUUAUUUCUUGACGUUUCCACGUGGAGGGGAUGUUACCAGAUGUCACUAUGGAAUUUAUAAGAGAUAAAUAAUAAAAUAAAGCAUCAUCAUCUAAAUGAGAGAUAAAGGAAUACGGAAUACCGUCCAGUUCAGGAGCAGAAUCCUUAACAUGAGACAAUACACCUUUUAGUUCAGUGAGAGAAAAUAUACUGUUUAAACCAAAACAGUUAUCAUUAUUUAUAUUUAUUACAGGGUAACCAAUUAUUAAGUCUUCAGGAACGAAAGGUGGAGCCAAUUUAUCUAAAAAGCUAUUAACUAAAUGAAAAGGGAUUGAUUUUGGGGAUGAAUCUUUGUAUGCAGAUCUAAACCUUCUUAUAUUUUGCCAUACAAGAGAUGGUUUGACAUCAGGUGAUAUUGAAUAGCAGAAAUUUUUCCAGCCAUCAAAUUUCUUUUUCUUUAGAAAUUUUGAAGUUUCUGACAUACUCUUUGUAAGAAUUUCAAAAUUUUCAUCAGUGGAACAUUGACAGUAUGUAAUUUCAGCAUAUUUUCUUCUCUUUACUGCCUCAGUACAUUCGUUAUCCCACCAAGGAGGAGAAGGAAUAAAACCCAAAGAGCUAUUUUUACUUGGAAAUAUCUCAUUGGCAACCUCAAUAAAGAUUCUUGCUAAAGAAUCUGCACACUGAGAUUCUGUACCUGGAUUAAUUUUUGGAAGUGUAAUAAUUUUGUUUUUUAUUAGAUCUUUAUAUAAAUCCCAAUCAACAUCAUUAAGCUUAUAUUUUAAACGAGGAGAAUAAGUUUUAUGUAAUACUUUAUUGUUAUUAUUGCAGGUUGGAAAUGAUAAUAAUAGUGGGAAGUGAUCACUACCAAAAGUAGAUCGUAAUGGAUCCCAGGACAAAGAAGAAACAAGAUUAGGUGUAGUGACUGUUAAAUCUGGAGCACUUGGGCCCUCGUCAGGAUGAGAACGUCGUGUAGGACGACCAUCAUUUAAUAUACACAAAUUCACUGAAUCAAAUAUAUCUAUUAAUGUGUUACCAUAACUAUUAGAAGAUAAGUAACCCCAGGAUUCACGGCGACAGUUAAAAUCACCAAGGAUCAUAAAAGGCUUCGGAAGAAUGGAAAUAAUAUCUUUAAUUUCAUUUAAGAUUGCAGAAGAAGGAUGAGGUAUAUAAAUAGAUACAUAACAGAUAUUUUCAACUAAAGCAGCAAUAAUAGAAAAAUCAUUACUGUGAGAAGGAAUAGAGAAGAGAGAAAAGGAAAGAGGGUGUUUCACAAGCAUGGCUACUCCGCCAUGCCCAUCCACACGAUCUUCUCUGAGACAUGAAUAACCACGAAUCUUAAAUAAAGAUGCUGGUUUCAACCAUGUCUCUUGAAGAGCACAGAUAUAAGAAACUAAUAAGGCAGCGUUGGACGGUGAAAAUUCAUUCGAUUGACUAAGAGAUUUUAUAAGAGAAAUAAUUAAAUCAAUUACUGAGGA